ACAGGCCGCGCUCACAGCCAUGAUGUCCGGCCGGAUGUUAGUCACCUGCUCCUCAAACUGGAGCUUGAACAGGAUGCCAUUCAGCCGUGGGCGAAGCUGCUUGACACUGCUAAUCUGAUGCUCUAUCCACACUGACCUACAAUUGAGAAAGCAUGGGCAGCCGGCCCUGGCAGCUGUUGUGGUGAAGGGUGCUGCACAAAGGCUCAAUGCAGAACUUCAAAGAUGACGACUCACAGUGUAAAGCUGGCUACCAGGAAAGUGGGUUUCUUUAUCUCUGUACCCAUGGCUCUCUACUCACCUUCACACCUAAAACAUCUAUGACCUACAGAUGACAAAGUACAAAUAAUGAAAGAAUUCAGGGGAAAUUAGACAGCGGGUAGAGGGAGCUCCACAUGUGUACAAGAGAGACAGAACUGAAGCGAAACAGAAAAGGAAAGUGGGGGCAUAAUCAUGGGAAUUGGUAGUCCUGAAUUAGAUGAUAUGUUUUAUAUAAAACUGCGGGUCAGUGAUUCCCAAUCCGAUCCUCAGGGAUGCACAGACAUUUUUGCUCCAUGCACGUUUUUGCUCCAUCCCCAGAUUUUAGCUGAGAAGGAGCAAAAAUAUGGACUAUCUGCGGGUCCCCAAGGACCGGAUUGGGAAACACUACUGUGGGCUGUUUAGGCAUCAGAGGAAUGGCAAAGCAUUUUCAUAAAAACCUGAGAUAUUGUAUUUGUUGUACUGCUUGAGCACAGAGAAGUGGUUGUAAAUGAUAAAGAUU